CCUGAUUUGGUCUUCAUGGAUACCCUUACAAAAACACUGACAUUAGUUCUCAAUACAGUAAGUGCUUUUUUGUUGGGAGUAGUUUUUGCGGA
rnacentral:pre_miRNA from 1 species